UGUGUCAGGACUGGUAGCGUGCUAUAUUGUCACCGGUGCAGCCACUUGGAGGCAAGGGGAAGUGGUCGGAAGUUUGAAACGUACUCCGAAAAAAGAGGAUUUACAUGAGCAAGGAGGAAAAGAGGGAUUCCUUGCCGCAAACAUCUGCUUAUCGUCGGAAUAUCGAAGAGGUGCCGAAAGUCACGAUACGCUUUCUUUUUGGAGUUUGUUUCCGACAGACACUUCAGCCCUGGCUUGGCGCGUCUUGUUUUGGCCCAUCUUUGGCCCAGAUAGUUCCAGUCCAUUGUUCAACUCUCGUACCCAACAGAUGUUGUUUAGACCUCAAUGUCCCCAUAAACUCCACCACCACCAACUCUGUCGUUCCCAUGUGAUGGGGUGAAGGGAGGGGACACCAGUAAUACACAGCCAAGAACCAAGAGGAGACAAUGAAUGUGCACUUCAAGUUUCCCCGGCUCAGCUAAUAGUACCCAGUAAAGUGUCUAGGACAACUCUUCAAGUGUCUGCUGGGUACGAUCACAGACACAUGGAAGAAACGGAUAUUCUGGGUGGAGGAGAGGAACCUCGCAUCAUAUUAUAUGGCGGCAAUGUUCUCCUCGACAAAGGAAAGUGGCUCUUGGAAAAACGCACUCCUAAAUCAAGUUGCAGUAUUGUGCCCAGACCAAGAUUGAAAUCUGUCCCACCUUACAACGUGUCCCCGUAUACCCGACGACCCCGCCACCGGUGACCAGGCUGGCCAGCUGCCAGACCGCUCGAGUGGUGUAAACCAGCCGCGGGCGGGCCCACAGAAAUAGCUUCCAGCGCCGGAGUUACACGGCUAGACUUUGAUCGUAAUUUGAUCCUGCUCCGCCAGCAGAGCGGUCGACCUUUUGUACCGUUAAUAGAAGCAAUGACACGUUAUUAUAGCCCAUUGGGAUACAUUCAAUUUAUGCUGGGUGAACCCUCUUGGACACCCGCUGAUCCAGCACUUCUUUUUAGGUGCACUUCACAGUUUAAUUUGGGGAUUCAUAAUUUCCUGCUUGGUUUCAACAUCUUACUUUCUCAAAUACGUGAUUUUUCUUUUGCAUCAGGCAUAGUUCAUGGUUGCCACUCAAACAAUGAGUGAGUGAGUGUGUGAUGAUGGCAUAUAAAUCAUGUUUUUCAAAUUGUAUUCAAAAAUAGUUGUGAGGAUGACCUUUUUAGUCAAUAAAUGCUAGUAUGUUUUAUAGAUUUGAUAUGCAAUAUGAAAUUCAAUUUCAACAUAAGGUAGUAACUGGACGUUUUGGGGAUAAAACCACAAAAUGUGUCAACUGGCACUUUUUUACGAUCACCCAUAGCAACAAAUGUAAAACAGAUGCUGCGAUAUCCGACUUCAGCGCAAGUGUGACAGUGUGAGCGUUAACGAGGAAAUGCAUUCGACGUGGCCAUGUGUCAUGUUACACACGUUACAUGUAUGUAUAAAACAUGGAAAGGUGCAAAGACUGAGCGUGGGAACAAGACUAUGAUGGUAUUUCAAAUGU